UUACGCACCUCGCCACUCACCUGUCUGGCCGCGAUAUCGCCUGGUGAGUGACUUGUUGAGUGACUCGGUCGUUUGAGUAACUUCACUCCGUCACGCGCUCUGGCGAGGUGAAGACGCACACCCCGCAGUCCGUUUUCUAUUGAGCUCGCGUCCUGGAGACAGAAAACGGUCCGCCGAUACACAACCGAAAGCGAUUAUUAUAUUGGAAAUUAUUUUAAAUUGUGCUUCAAGUCUUAGUUUUAGAACCCGAUUUUACGAACCUAUUGUAUGCCCAUUACAUAUAAAGAAUGGAAAAACGUAAAACAGACUUCUGAAAAACAACGACUGUGUUUCUGAUAUAAAUUCCAAAACGGUGAAGUGACACGCAGAAAAGGUUAAAUAAAAAAUAUGCGCCGAAGACAUGGCAUGAUUUCUAGAUAAGAAUAUGCCAGACACAGAAACUUAAAAGGAAGUAGCACCACAAAAACAAUGGAAACAUCCUACCAGUGUUGUCAGCACUAGGCUAUCCACCUCUUCAGCACUGCCGAAGGAGCGAGGCAGCCGAACCACAGGAGUCUCCAAG